CGUAAAGUUAGCCGGUGGUGACUGCUGGGACAUUUGAGCUUCCCCAGCCUUAAAAAUACCUGAGAUUUCCAAAUCCCUGAGGCAUGUUGACUUUCUGAACCAUGUUUGACAUUUUGUCCUGAGGGCGAAGUUUCUCAUUACCGAAAGCUCCAUAAAACCGGAUGCAUAGCUCUGGUCCACGCAGAAAAGCGAGAUGAGGAGGAGGAAUGAAUGAAGAGGAGAUUUACGUAGAGGUCUGAGGAUCAGACGGUGACUGAAUGAGCAGAAUACUAAUGCGAUCGCUCAUCCACCACAUCACAAUGACGACAGGCUCCACGGCAACCAGCAAUUUUAAGCGACUGAGAAAGUCACAGAGGGAACAUAGAGACAUAAUUAGAAUAAAUUUUCAGCCACUUCUGUCUUACUCUAGUGUCAGAAAUAGGUUGCUCUGAUGUAACACUUGCAGGUGUUAUGCACUUAGUAUUCACACACUAAACGAGAUGAAAAGAAGUAAACUGUCAUACAGGAAGUAGAGAGAAUGAGGAUUGGACUGUUUGUUCCUCAGACAUUUGAUUCUGUAACUGUGACUGAAAUCUCUCCAGUCCAUUUAUUGGUUUGCCACACUCACGCUUAGAUUUGAAAGAGAGGGGUAGGGGAUUGUCUUGAUUUGCAUUUUCUGAAGGAAAUACCAUUUCUUCAAGGCAGCAACAGAAUAGCAUUAAAGUUUAAUAGAAGUUUAGGUUUUAGCCUGUGGUUCUGCGUAAAUGAUUUUGCAUCAGAGCGUUGUCAUGACACUCGGCGCACGUCUUUGCUGUCGACUGCACGCAAGAAUCAAAACAUGAUCACUGUGCAGCGUAAAGGCAGCUAUAAAUGGUUGAAUAUACGCAAGACGAGACCAAUCACAGCUCGGUAUGUAAAUUGAUGUAAAUUAUAAAGCUUUCACACUGACCCCAGUCCAUUUGUCGUCAGAGUUCAUGUUUGGUUGGUGACAAAGUGUUUUACACCACAUCAGGUCUGCAUGAAAUGUUGGUCUGGGUCGCAGUUUUAUUGCAGUCUGAAAGUGAUCUGAAAUUGUUGACACAUCCAUGCUGCAGGUACUGCUAAAUUGUACUACAAUGCAUUUCUAAUUGCUGCAUGUCUUCCAAAUUUAUAGCAAGGUUUGCAUGGUACAUUCAAUACAUAAAAAAUGACUUGGCUACAGACAAGAUUUUUUAUCUAAAAUAAAGGUUUUAAUAUAUUAUGCCAUGGUAAUUUUACACAUUGUGCCAUAAAUAACACCAUAUUCUGUUCAUGCU